GAAGAUUGGACAUAAUUUGUGGCCUGUGGAAAUUUUCAACUGAUUUUGACAACUUUCAACAUGGCGGCCAAGUUCUGAUGCAAUGAGAAAUAAUUCAUAAGCUAUAUAAGGAGGUCCGACAGUAUCAUUAAACAUUGAAAAUAAGUUUGAAAUGUACUCAUGUGAAGAGAGAGGAGUUAAAACACGUCUUCAUUAAUUAUAGCGCCCCCUAGAGGUCAAUGGUCACCAAAUUCAUUAAGUGUCCCCAAGAUGAUGUUAUGGGUCUAUGUAACAAGUUUGGUUAUGAUAUGUCAAAGGGAUGCUUAGAUAUUGGCGUGUUUCCGGUUUGGCGGAUUUGCGGUUGAAUAUCAUUGGCUGUCGCGGAUAUUUCUGCAAGAAAUAAUAUACUAGCUAUACGGGGAGGUCUAAUAGUAUCACUAGACAUUGAAAAUAAGUUUUAAA
ensembl:lncRNA